UGGGGAAUAUUGGACAAUGGGGGAAACCCUGAUCCAGCAAUGCCGCGUGAGUGAUGAAGGCCUUAGGGUUGUAAAGCUCUUUUACCCGGGAUGAUAAUGACAGUACCGGGAGAAUAAGCCCCGGCUAACUCCGUGCCAGCAGCCGCGGUAAUACGGAGGGGGCUAGCGUUGUUCGGAAUUACUGGGCGUAAAGCGCACGUAGGCGGCUAUUCAAGUCAGAGGUGAAAGCCCGGGGCUCAACCCCGGAACUGCCUUUGAAACUAGGUAGCUAGAAUUCUGGAGAGGUCAGUGGAAUUCCGAGUGUAGAGGUGAAAUUCGUAGAUAUUCGGAAGAACACCAGUGGCGAAGGCGACUGACUGGGCAGAUAUUGACGCUGAGGUGCGAAAGCGUGGGGAGCAAACA
rnacentral:rRNA from 1 species